GGAUCCAGACUUUGAUCAUGGCUCAGGACGAACGCUGGCGGCGUGCCUAACACAUGCAAGUCGAACGGAACUGUUUUGAAAGAUUUCUUCGGAAUGAAUUUGAUUUAGUUUAGUGGCGGACGGGUGAGUAACGCGUGAGUAACCUGCCUUCAAGAGGGGGAUAACAUUCUGAAAAGAAUGCUAAUACCGCAUGACAUAUCGGAAUCACAUGAUUUUGAUAUCAAAGAUUUUAUCGCUUGAAGAUGGACUCGCGUCCGAUUAGUUAGUUGGUGAGGUAACGGCUCACCAAGACCGCGAUCGGUAGCCGGACUGAGAGGUUGAACGGCCACAUUGGGACUGAGACACGGCCCAGACUCCUACGGGAGGCAGCAGUGGGGGAUAUUGCGCAAUGGGGGCAACCCUGACGCAGCAACGCCGCGUGAAGGAUGAAGGUUUUCGGAUUGUAAACUUCUUUUAUUAAGGACGAAACUUGACGGUACUUAAUGAAUAAGCUCCGGCUAACUACGUGCCAGCAGCCGCGGUAAUACGUAGGGAGCAAGCGUUGUCCGGAUUUACUGGGUGUAAAGGGUGCGUAGGCGGCUUUGCAAGUCAGAUGUGAAAUCUAUGGGCUCAACCCAUAAACUGCAUUUGAAACUGUAGAGCUUGAGUGAAGUAGAGGCAGGCGGAAUUCCCCGUGUAGCGGUGAAAUGCGUAGAGAUGGGGAGGAACACCAGUGGCGAAGGCGGCCUGCUGGGCUUUAACUGACGCUGAGGCACGAAAGCGUGGGUAGCAAACAGGAUUAGAUACCCUGGUAGUCCACGCUGUAAACGAUGAUUACUAGGUGUGGGGGGUCUGACCCCUUCCGUGCCGGAGUUAACACAAUAAGUAAUCCACCUGGGGAGUACGGCCGCAAGGUUGCAACUCAAAGGAAUUGACGG
rnacentral:rRNA from 1 species